GCGGCCCCUUUGACAACCCACUUCCAGCAAAGAGCGGAAGAGGCGGGCAGGUGGAGGAGGGGUUAAGAUGGCGGCGCCUUUGAGGAUUCAGAGCGACUGGGCCCAAGCCCUCAGGAAGGAUGAAGGGGAAGCCUGGCUGAGUUGUCACCCCCCAGGGAAACCCACUUUGUAUGGCAGCCUAACUUGUCAAGGAAUUGGCCAAGAUGGCAUCCCAGAAGUUACAGCUUCAGAAGGAUUUAUUGUGAAUGAGAUAAACAAGAAAAGCAUUCAUAUUUCUUGUCCGAAGGAAAAUGCAUCCUCAAAGUUUUUGGCCCCAUACACUACUUUUUCCAGAAUUCAUUCAAAGAGUAUAACAUGCCUGGACAUUUCCAGUGGAGGCGGCCUUGGUGUGUCUUCUAGUACUGAUGGAAGCAUGAAGAUCUGGCAGGCUUCCAAUGGCGAGCUCAGAAGAGUAUUGGAAGGACAUGUGUUUGAUGUGAAUUGUUGCAGGUUUUUCCCAUCAGGCCUUGUGGUUCUGAGUGGGGGAAUGGAUGCCCAGCUGAAGAUCUGGUCAGCCGAAGAUGCUAGCUGUGUGGUGACCUUCAAAGGUCACAAAGGAGGUAUUCUGGAUACAGCCAUUGUUGAUCGGGGGAGGAAUGUGGUGUCUGGUUCUCGAGACGGGACAGCACGACUUUGGGAUUGUGGGCGUUCAGCCUGCCUGGGAGUCAUUGCAGACUGUGGUUCUUCCAUUAAUGGAGUGGCUGUGGGUGCUGCUGACAACUCCAUAAACCUCGGCUCCCCUGAGCAGAUGCCAAGUGAACGGGAAGUUGGAACAGAGUCGAAAAUGCUGCUAUUGGCACGGGAGGAUAAGAAACUUCAGUGCUUGGGACUGCAGAGCAGGCAGCCGGUGUUCCUCUUUGUUGGCUCAGAUGCCUUCAACUGCUGCACUUUUCUCUCUGGCUUCUUACUGUUGGCUGGGACACAGGAUGGAAACAUUUAUCAGCUGGACGUGAGGAGUCCAAGGUUUUCCGGUGUGAGUUGUCUGAUUGUUCUUAUUAUUCCUGGAAUCGUAUUAAAAGGGCUCCAGUACAAGUCAUCCACAGAUCAGGAGCACCAGUUCUAUCCCUCCUGAGUUUCAGAGAUGGAUUCAUUGCUAGCCAAGGUGAUGGAAGCUGUUUCAUUGUCCAGCAAGACCUAGACUAUGUCAUUGAGCUCACUGGGGCCGACUGUGACCCUGUGUUCAAGGUAGCCACGUGGGAGAAGCAGAUCUACACAUGCUGUCGAGAUGGUCUUGUGCGACGCUAUCAGCUCUCUGAUCUCUGACUCCUUGGAAAAGGAUUCCCAGUUAAAGAAAAAAAUUGGCCCUAAUCGACAAAGAGCAAAAUAAUCAUCAGUCCUUCUCAAGGACCGUGUCCCCUUAUUCUUUAGGGCACCCUUUGGAAGUCACAGAAAAUCAGCUGCAUUGGCCCAUGUGGAAGUAUCAUUCCAUGACAAGACCUGUGAACUGAAGAAGAAGCUCACACAUGCUCCCUAUAUACACUCACCCCAACAGCACAGGGCAAGGGUAUGGAUGCUUACAGUUUGAUCUCAUACCAUUGUGUUAAGUGUUUACAAGGAUCAGAGGACUAAAGCUUGUUCUUUGAAGGAAAUAAAGAGAAUGUAUUUGGAGUUUGAA